UGAUUUUAAUGUCACUUCCUGUUGCGACUACUGCAGCCGAAGAGAUUUAGAAUUUGCAACAACGUUAUUAGAAAAAGCAAAAUGCCAUGGAAGCCAAACCAACAAAAUUUAUCAUGAUACAAGUCAUAAAACCUCAGAGUUAGAUGCAAACAAAGAAAAUGAUAAUAGUAAA